rnacentral:rRNA from 1 species
CAGCCGCCGCGGGAAAACGUAGGGUGCGAGCGUUAAUCGGAAUUACUGGGCGUAAAGCGUGCGCAGGCGGUUCGUUAAGACAGAUGUGAAAUCCCCGGGCUUAACCUGGGAACUGCAUUUGUGACUGACGGGCUAGAGUAUGGCAGAGGGGGGUAGAAUUCCACGUGUAGCAGUGAAAUGCGUAGAGAUGUGGAGGAAUACCGAUGGCGAAGGCAGCCCCCUGGGCCAAUACUGACGCUCAUGCACGAAAGCGUGGGGAGCAAACAGGAUUAGAUACCCCCGUAGUCCCUGUCUCUUAUAA